rnacentral:misc_RNA from 1 species
AACGCAUCUUGCGCUCUCUGGUAUUCCGGAGAGCAUGUCUGUUUGAGUGUCAUGAAUUCUUCAACCCAACUGUUUCUUGUAAACAGCUGGUGUUUGGAUUCUGAGCGCUGCUGGCUUCGUGCCUAGCUCGUUCGUAAUACAUCAGCAUCCCUAAUACAAGUUUGGAUUGACUUGGCGUAAUAGACUAUUCGCUAAGGAUUCAAUGUUCGCAUUGAGCCAACUUAAUUAAGGAAGCUUCUAAUUGAAAAGUCUACCUUUAGAUUAGAUCUCAAAUCAGGCAGGAUUACCCGCUGAACUUAA